GGGGAAAGGUAGCUUGCUACCUAACCUAGCGGCGGACGGGUGAGUAAUGCUUAGGAAUCUGCCUAUUAGUGGGGGACAACAUUCCGAAAGGAAUGCUAAUACCGCAUACGCCCUACGGGGGAAAGCAGGGGAUCUUCGGACCUUGCGCUAAUAGAUGAGCCUAAGUCAGAUUAGCUAGUUGGUGGGGUAAAGGCCUACCAAGGCGACGAUCUGUAGCGGGUUUGAGAGGAUGAUCCGCCACACUGGGACUGAGACACGGCCCAGACUCCUACGGGAGGCAGCAGUGGGGAAUAUUGGACAAUGGGCGAAAGCCUGAUCCAGCCAUGCCGCGUGUGUGAAGAAGGCCUUUUGGUUGUAAAGCACUUUAAGCGAGGAGGAGGCUACCGAGAUUAAUACUCUUGGAUAGUGGACGUUACUCGCAGAAUAAGCACCGGCUAACUCUGUGCCAGCAGCCGCGGUAAUACAGAGGGUGCGAGCGUUAAUCGGAUUUACUGGGCGUAAAGCGUGCGUAGGCGGCUUUUUAAGUCGGAUGUGAAAUCCCUGAGCUUAACUUAGGAAUUGCAUUCGAUACUGGGAAGCUAGAGUAUGGGAGAGGAUGGUAGAAUUCCAGGUGUAGCGGUGAAAUGCGUAGAGAUCUGGAGGAAUACCGAUGGCGAAGGCAGCCAUCUGGCCUAAUACUGACGCUGAGGUACGAA
rnacentral:rRNA from 1 species